GGAUGUGAGGGCGAUCUGGCUGCGACAUCUGUCACCCCAUUGAUGGCCAGGGUUGAUUCGGCUGAUCUGGCUGGCUAGGCGGGUGUCCCCUUCCUCCCUCACCGCUCCAUGUGCGUCCCUCCCGAAGCUGCGCGCUCGGUCGAAGAGGACGACCAUCCCCGAUAGAGGAGGACCGGUCUUCGGUCAAGGGUAUACGAGUAGCUGCGCUCCCCUGCUAGAACCUCCAAACAGGGUAGGCCCCCACCGAAUAACUUCACUAAAUUAUUGCUAAACAUCAAUACCUACACUGUUUUCCUUA
rnacentral:snRNA from 1 species